UUUAAUUUUUUUUUACGCAUUUACUUCCUCAUUUCUGUAUUACUAUUUAUGGUAGGUUUGAAAUCUUUAUAAAAUUAAUAGGUUACUUUUUUUGCUAUAGUUUUAAAAACUUAUAUUGAAUUAUCAAAAAGUCCUAAUAAAAGACAUAAAAAAGAGUCCUGAAUUGUGACUUUGUUGCACCGAAGGUGCGAUAUGUUCUGGUAGCAGCAGAACAAGCACGUCAACUGCACGUGCGCUGAGCCGACGGCACACGCGGGACAGCGACACUUCAGAUGGGACACGCAGGCAGCAGAUCUUCAGCGCUUCGACAACUCCAUGGAGCGACAGACGGAACAGACGAUACUCUUUAGGACAUAAUAUACCUUGUACAAAAUGUAUAUUUAAUGACGCAUAAAAAUUAUUGUGUAAAUAUUAGUUAUUAAGAAUAGUCCUCAGGCAGUUAUGCAAUUUUUUGUAUGUCUUUUUCAAUUUAGUUAUAUUGGGUUGUACAACCGUUUGAUACAAUAAAAGUGAUAUAGAACUAUA
rnacentral:misc_RNA from 1 species